CGUGCGCGGGGCCCGCGGGCCGGGCCGGGGUGACCUGGGCUGCAGCCAUGGAAGAACAGAGGGAGGCCCUGAGGAAGAUCAUCAAAACACUGGCUGUGAAGAAUGAAGAAAUUCAGAGCUUUAUCUACUCCCUGAAACAGAUGCUGCUGAACGUGGAGGCAAACUCGGCGAAGGUGCAGGAGGACCUCGAAGCAGAGUUCCAGUCCCUCUUCUCCCUCCUGGAGGAGCUGAAAGAAGGCAUGCUUAUGAAGAUAAAACAGGACCGUGCCAGCCGCACCUACGAGCUGCAGAACCAGCUGGCUGCCUGCACGCGGGCCCUGGAGAGCUCCGAGGAGCUUCUGGAGACAGCCAACCAGACUCUGCAGGCCAUGGACAGCGAGGACUUUCCUCAGGCUGCCAAGCAAAUCAAAGAUGGAGUGACCAUGGCCCCUGCCUUCCGGCUAUCAUUGAAAGCGAAGGUCAGUGACAACAUGAGUCACCUCAUGGUGGACUUCGCGCAAGAGCGGCAGAUGCUACAGGCACUCAAGUUCCUGCCUGGUGAGAGGGACACGCACUAGAGGGCCAGGACUUCCGGGGAAUGACCUGGGAGGCUAGGAGGCCCUGAAACAGGACCUGGAGUAAGGUGGACGGCCCGGUGUCUGAAUUCCGCCUGGGGGAGGUGGAGCUCUGAGAAUUCCACGCCCUGUGGGGGGUGGA
rnacentral:sRNA from 1 species